rnacentral:rRNA from 1 species
CUAGCGUUCCGCCGCUGGCAAACACGCCUUGGCGGGCAGCUUCCCGGAAACGAAAGUUUUUCGGUUCCGGGGGAAGUAUGGUUGCAAAGCUGAAACUUAAAGAAAUUGACGGAAGGGCACCACCAGGAGUGGAGCCUGCGGCUUAAUUUGACUCAACACGGGAAAACUCACCUGGCCCGGACACCGUGAGGAUUGACAGAUUGAGAGCUCUUUCUUGAUUCGGUGGUUGGUGGUGCAUGGCCGUUCUUAGUUGGUGGAGUGAUUUGUCUGGUUUAUUCCGAUAACGAGCGAGACUCCAGCCUACUAAAUAGUUACUGGAUAAUUGCGUCCAGAAGACUUCUUAGAGGGACAAGCGGUGUUCAGCCGCACGAAGCUGAGCAAUAACAGGUCUGUGAUGCCCUUAGAUGUCCAGGGCUGCACGCGCGCUACACUGGAGGAAUCAGCGUGCUGUAACCAUUGCCGAAAGGCAUUGGUAACCCCUUGAAAAUCCUCCGUGAUCGGGAUCGGGAAUUGCAAUUAUUUCCCUUGAACGAGGAAUUCCUAGUAAGUGUGAGUCAUCAGCUCACGUUGAUUACGUCCCUGCCCUUUGUACACACCGCCCGU